rnacentral:rRNA from 1 species
UCAGGAUGAACGCUGGCGGCGUGCUUAACACAUGCAAGUCGAACGAAGCUCCUAAACCUGAGAUUCGUCAAGGGCGAGGGAUGACUUAGUGGCGGACGGGUGAGUAAUGCGUGAGCAACCUGCCCUUCAGAGGGGGACAACAGCUGGAAACGGCUGCUAAUACCGCAUAAAGUACAGAUGAGGCAUCUCGACUGUACCAAAGAUUUAUCGCUGAAGGAUGGGCUCACGUCUGAUUGGCUAGUUGGUGAGGUAAUGGCUCACCAAGGCUGCGAUCAGUAGCCGGACUGAGAGGUUGGCCGGCCACAUUGGGACUGAGAUACGGCCCAGACUCCUACGGGAGGCAGCAGUGGGGAAUAUUGGGCAAUGGGCGCAAGCCUGACCCAGCAACGCCGCGUGAAGGAAGAAGGCUUUCGGGUUGUAAACUUCUUUUGGCAGGGACGAAGAAAGUGACGGUACCUGCAGAAUAAGCUCCGGCUAACUACGUGCCAGCCGCAGC